AUAUCAAUAAGCGGAGGAAAAGAAACUAACGAGGAUUCCCCUAGUAACUGCGAGUGAAGCGGGAAAAGCUCAAAUUUAAAAUCUGGCGGUCUUUGGCCGUCCGAGUUGUAGUCUGGAGAAGCGUCUUCUACGCCGGACCGUGUACAAGUCCCUUGGAACGGGGCGUCAUAGAGGGUGAGAAUCCCGUCCAUGACACGGACCGCCGGCGGUUUGUGAUGCGCUCUCAAAGAGUCGAGUUGUUUGGGAAUGCAGCUCAAAACGGGUGGUAAAUUCCAUCUAAAGCUAAAUACUGGCGAGAGACCGAUAGCGAACAAGUACCGUGAGGGAAAGAUGAAAAGCACUUUGGAAAGAGAGUUAAACAGUACGUGAAAUUGCUGAAAGGGAAACGCUUGAAGUCAGUCGCGUCGGCCGGGGCUCAGCCUUGCAUUCGUUUGCUCGGUUUACUUCCCGGUCGACGGGCCAGCGUCGAUUUUGACCGUCGGAAAAGGGCCAGAGGAAAGUGGCACCUUCGGGUGUGUUAUAGCCUUUGGUCGCAUACGGCGGUCGGGAUCGAGGAACGCAGCACGCCUUCGAUGGCCGGGGCAUUCGUGCCCACGCAUCGUGCUUAGGAUGCUGGCGUAAUGGCUUUAAACGACCCGUCUUGAAACACGGACCAAGGAGUCUAACGUGCCUG
rnacentral:rRNA from 1 species